rnacentral:lncRNA from 1 species
GUAGAAAAGGUGCACUUUGGAAACAUCAUUAAUGGCACGGGAAGGCUUGUGGGCCGGUGUAUGAGGCCAGGAGGAGAUGGCACAAAGGGAGAUCCCAUGAGCAGCUGAGAGAAUUCGGACAGAUGUGUGAAGCUGAGGUGGGUGCGUUCCUCCCUGACCCAUGCUGUAUCCCUUAAGCCAUCUCAACUGCUCCUUAGAAGCAGUGAUCAUUAAACAUUUGCCAAGUUGAUUUUGCUCUGCAUCUCUGAAUGUGAAGAGAGGAGUGAGACAGGAG